CUUAGAAGUGUGGACGCCAGUCUGCAUGGAGCCGACCUUGAAAUACCACCCUUUAAUGUUUGAUGUUCUAACGUUGACCCGUAAUCCGGGUUGCGGACAGUGUCUGGUGGGUAGUUUGACUGGGGCGGUCUCCUCCUAAAGAGUAACGGAGGAGCACGAAGGUUGGCUAAUCCUGGUCGGACAUCAGGAGGUUAGUGCAAUGGCAUAAGCCAGCUUGACUGCGAGCGUGACGGCGCGAGCAGGUGCGAAAGCAGGUCAUAGUGAUCCGGUGGUUCUGAAUGGAAGGGCCAUCGCUCAACGGAUAAAAGGUACUCCGGGGAUAACAGGCUGAUACCGCCCAAGAGUUCAUAUCGACGGCGGUGUUUGGCACCUCGAUGUCGGCUCAUCACAUCCUGGGGCUGAAGUAGGUCCCAAGGGUAUGGCUGUUCGCCAUUUAAAGUGGUACGCGAGCUGGGUUUAGAACGUCGUGAGACAGUUCGGUCCCUAUCUGCCGUGGGCGCUGGAGAACUGAGGGGGGCUGCUCCUAGUACGAGAGGACCGGAGUGGACGCAUCACUGGUGUUCGGGUUGUCAUGCCAAUGGCACUGCCCGGUAGCUAAAUGCGGAAGAGAUAAGUGCUGAAAGCAUCUAAGCACGAAACUUGCCCCGAGAUGAGUUCUCCCUGACUCCCUGAGAGUCCUGAAGGAACGUUGAAGACGACGACGUUGAUAGGCCGGGUGUGUAAGCGCAGCGAUGCGUUGAGCUAACCGGUACUAAUGAACCGUGAGGCUUAACCUU
rnacentral:rRNA from 1 species